GCAGAUGGCAAAACAAAUUUCUCUCCUGCACUCUGCGUCCUUGUUCACUUCCUAAAAUAGUGUAGGUAUUUCUCCACUGUCCUUCUCACAGCCGCCUUCACCUCUACGUUCUUUAGGCUGUAGAUGAGGGGAUUCACCAAGGGCGUGACUGCACUGUACUGCAAGGAGGAGAGCAAAUCCAGGGAGGAACCCGAGGGGGGCAUGAGAUAACGAAGAAAACCUGAGCCAAAGAACAGGAUCACUGCGAUGAGGUGGGAGGAGCAGGUGGAGAAGGCCUUGCUUCUGCCUGAGGUGGAGCUGAUGUGCAGGAUGGUGGAGACAAUACGGGUGUAGGAAAAGAAGAUUGGGAGGAAGGUUCCCAGCCCAUGCAGUAAGGUGGAGCAGAUCAAGAUGUCAAUAUUGAUGGAAAUAUCAGAGCAAGACAGAGGGAAGAGGGAGGGCAGCUCACAGGUGUAGUGGUGGAUGGUUUGGGCCUCACAGAAGUCCAGGUUAAUAGCCAAAAGCACAAUGACAAAUGCAUUGAGAGAGGCCAGGCCCCAUGAGGCCAGCACCAACCCCACACAGAGCUGGCUGCUCAUCACCUGGCCGUAGAGCAGAGGGUGGCAGAUGGCGGCAUAGCGGUCAUAGGCCAUCACCGAGAGCAGAAAGGCUUCAGUCCCUGCGGUGAUAAACACAAAGAACACCUGAGCCAGGCAGCCCUCCACUGAGAUGGUUUUCUUCUCAGACAGAAGGUCCUUCAGUAGCUUGGGCACAGUGACAGAAGAGAAGCAGAGGUCCAGGAAGGACAGGUUACUCAGGAAGAAGUACAUGGGCGUGUGGAGGCGGGAGUCGGUCCUGAUCACCAGCAGCAGCAUCAGAUUCCCCAUCACGGUCAGGAGGUAAAUCCCCAGGAAGAGCACGAAGAGCAGAGCCUGGAUGUGGGGGUCGUCGGACAGCCCCGUGAGAAUGAACUCGGUGAUGAUGCUGUGGUUCCUCCAGGCCAUUUGUGGAGGGGAUUUCCCUGGAAUAGAAUAGAAAUAGCGAUGAGAUCUGUCUCCUUCAGGUCAUCACCCCUCUCACCAUACAUCCCUCGAAGCUGCCCUUACCGCAUCUCAGGAAAAGUUUUUAUCCUGUUUUGUUAUCACCGAUCCUACGUCACAGUCUUUGCGAACUUCAGAGAAUCUUCUGCCCUUUCCGUUAGGGAUUUCACUGGACCAAUGAAUAUCUUUGGUUCACCUACACAUUCAUAGUAUUUAGAUGCUACCAAUUCUUCUUAGACUUUAGAAAUCAUCAAAAAUCUAGCACAUAUCUGAGUGGUUUUCUAAACCUUCUUUCUUCAAUUUCUCAACCACAAGUUUUUGGUUCAAAAUCAUCCAGUGAUUCCCUAUCAGAGUUGACAUCCAUUAGGCACAGUAGGUCCAGUGCCUAGGGCCACAGUUGUUGCAUGGCUGAUGAAAACAUUUUAAAUUUCUUUUAAGACCAGAAGAAUCUGCAUUCUAUUCAUCUUUAUAACUGCAACAUUUUAAUAUCUCUUUGUAUGGAAAGAAAAGGAGCCUAGGGAGGCAAAAGUGCCUGGAACCAUGAAAGUCAUAAUGUGUCCUUGCUCUCUACUUUAUGAACAGAGCAUUUAACUUUAGUAAGACUUUUUUAAAUACAGAGCAUUUUUUUAAUCACUAUCUCAAUUGUUUCAAGGCAAUUCUGUAAGAUUUGAUAAGGAAUUAUUAGCCAUGGGGCAAAGAAUUUUAUCCCCAUUUUUACGUGAGAGAAGUCUGAUAUUAAGGGAUAUUUUGUAAUGCCAUGUUGACAACAAAUAGAAGUAAAAAUAGGAGAAGCAGAAGUAAAUUACAUUAUUUUUUUUCUAAUUAUCAGCCCAAUGUCUAGGCUUAGUGCACAGUGAUAAGGAACACUUUUCUUACUCAGAUGCUUCAAAUUCUUCUUCAUCUGCCCUUAAACUCGUGGCCAUUUUGGCUGCUUUAGACACCAGAAAGGUCUAUUUGUUUCUGUGUCUUUGCUCACCUUCUUCUUGGUAUGUUCUCCUCUUCAGCCCACUGACCCAGACUCUCCUGGGUCUUCCAGUGUCAUCUAUAAACCUGCUUUUUGCUUCUAGCCUGUCCUGACUGCCCAGCUCUCUGUUCAAACCACUGGGACACUUGCUCCCAGGUGCCUUAUGGCAUAGUCUGAACUGUGUGUCUUGUCUCAUGUUAGACAGCGAUCUCAGUUUUCCCCUCCGGAUUGUGAGCUCCUUGAGAAUAUAGAUCACAACUUGACAACAACAAUCACAAAUCAACGUUUCUCUGGCUCUCACCUGCCCGUUAGCUUCUGAUUACCUCUCAGAUUUCUGUCCGAUUAUUUUGGAAGCCUCUCCACGUCAUCUCCCGCGUGCCUUAGAAAAAAACCUCCGGACUAUCCUCAGCACAGUCUCCUCCCGGACUCCAGCGGCCCCCACAGCGCUAGCGCCCCGCAGAAGUCCUGCUGACAUUGCUGUCCCCCAGAGUCGCCAGGCUGCCCACUCACGCUGCGCGGAGGCCACCGCGGCUGAAUUUCCAGGAUGCUGUUAUCUACCCAGAGCACACCGCCUCACGCCGCAGCCCCUCCCGCGGUCUCAUUUUUGUAGAAUCCACAGCAUUGUUGCCACCACUGCAAGAGGCUGCUUGUAAUUUAUUGUGGAUGUAUCAUUCUUUUAUUGCCCCUUGCGGGUCAGAGUGAAGAGUCUUACGAUUUUCUUUUAAGUGUUUUUUGCAUCCGCUUGCUCUAGGGAUCAGCUGUGUAACCAAGAGGACCAGAUGGUGAGCAAUUUAUGUUAAUCGUGAUACUAAGAAUCAUUUUGAACCCUAGCUUCUCAGACUACAUCCUAUGUGAAGAUUCCUUCCUCAGUUGGACCUCUGAGGCUAAUACAGCCUGUUUUUGUCUGUCAGUCCACAGUCCCAUCCCAUAGUGGGCUUUUGUCUUCACAGAAAUAUUUAAUCUUACUGAUUCAGAGAGCCCUGCUUCUGACCCUUUCAGCUUUGCAGCCAUCUUAUGACUAGGUGCUAACUUGCAUCACGAAAAGCUUAAAUUCUGAUCCCAUUAACAAAUCCAUCAGCCCCACUUGAGUCCAUCUUGGACCCAAGUCUGGGUUACCUGUGUGCCAGGACAGAGAGGGCAACGUUCACCUCUGUGUGCCUGCAGGACACUAGCUUCCGUCCAGGGGUGGUGAAGCAUAACUGGAGAAGUUACUUCUGAGGAUCCUGCAUGGAUAAAAUUGUAGAUACUGUAGAAAGUGAACACUGUAUCUUGAAUCCAUACAAGCAAAGUAAAAUGAUACGUGGAAGCCAUCUUCCCAAAGAUUCCUGUAUUUCAAAAUAUUUAGGGAUAUGGCUACCCUGGAAAUCGCUUGCCUUCUUCCGCUUUCACUCAUAAGGGGGACCUGGCUACAAUGUCCGCUGGGGCGUCAAGCUCUCUCAUCUGAAGAAGCUUAGCAUUUAUGGAGAAUCCUUUUCUGUCCUGCCCGACACCCACAUUUUUUAUGGAAGAAGGCAACAGCGACUUCUCUUGGGUGAUUUCAAGUUGUCACAGAGGCAUGUCCCUCCCCUUCACAAUCCCUCAGCAGCACCCCAGAUUGAUGCCUCAGACUUCUUUCAUGACCAGGAACAAUUAAUCCCAGAUCAAUGAAGCAUAAAAGUAAAGCAGACCGGCAGUUACUCUUGGGAAGGGAAGCUUCCAUCCUGAGAUGUGGCAGACAGACACCAGAGUUAGAACAUGGAUUGUGGGCAGGAGUGGACGGAGGGGGGGGGGGCUGGUCAUGGAGGGAUGGGAGAUGUAGAAGGAGGAUUCCAGCAGUGUCUUGGAUAAACGCCUGUGUUGCCAUUUUGCCAACACAGAUGCCUCAUACCCACCAGAUACCUGGUCGUUCGAUCGAUUUCUCUUACAAAGAGAUGAGAGAGGAUAUUGGGUAUGUUUAUGAGUUUAUGGCUCUCAGGAGGUUAACUGUUGCAGGGGGACUUCCACAAGGAGGAAAAAAGCCUACUGUGCUUCUAACUGUUGUGCUGAGCAAGCAGGAAAAUAAGUGCCUCUGACAGUCCACCUUUCUCUCUGAUACCUUCAUUUCAUUCCAGGUGUUUGCUUUUUGUAAUCCUUUGGGGUGCUGAAGCAUGAGAGGGAUUUAUUCCUAGACUUUACUUUUUAUUUUUUUUUAAACAUUUUUAAAAGAGUCUAUUUAUUUUUGAGAGAGCACAAGCAGGGAAAGGGCGAGAGAAAGAGAGAGAGAGAGAGAGAGAGAGAGGCGAAUCUGAAGCAGGCUCCAGGUUCUGAGCUGUCAGCACAGAGCCCAACAUUGGGCUCGAACUCACAAGCCGGGACAUCAUGACCUGAGCUGAAGUUGGACGCUUAACCACCUGAGCCACCCAGGCGCCCCUAUGCCCAGACUUUAAAGUGUCACUUCCUUAGUGUGAAGCAGGGAGGGAGGGAAGGUGUCUAGGGCAGCUGGUACAGAUGUGUCAUUCAGAGAAGCAGAGAUAUCAGAGUCCCAUCUGGGGAGAUGGUCCGCCAAGGAGUCAGAUGUUCCCCCCUCUGGCUUAGGGACAAGGAACGGGUGGAGCAGACACCUCAGACUUUAGGACAGAUGGAAGGGAUCGUGGGGUGGAGAGGGGGGAGAGGAAAAGCAGCAGAAUUGAAACAUACAUAGCACUUUACAGGCAGAAAAACAGGGGGGCCACCAGAAAACCAGACGAGAUAUUACCGUUCCCCUGGCUUUUCUUGGAGGAGGCAACUCCACAUGUUCUGUCUUCCCGAUCACAAGUAGACUCUUGGUAGGUAAGUCCCGAGAACAGAACCCCCGUCGCAAGCCUCUCUUCGCAGAGUAUAGAGCCUUUUCUCUUUGCUGUCAGUGAGUGAGGGAAAUUAGAAUGGCUCGAGGUCUGGAAGCACUGGAUACAUCACAGAAUCAGGACUAUUCUCCAGAACACCUUAACCUAGAGUGGGGUCAUUCUUCAAUGCAGGCCGCUGUAUGGAAAGACAGGGACGGUUCUUUUUAAAGAAGCUCCUGCUCUGAACAACAGGCACACAUUCCAUGGAUCCCUUCUCACAUGAUCUCAGGUGCAGUAACGUGCCUGGUGUUCAUUUAUUUCCUCUGUGCUCCUGAAUACUCUCUGAGAGCAUCACCUAAAGAAAGAACAAUCUAAUAGAACCAGUCAGAAGGCCAUCUGUACUUAGGGAGCCGCGGGGCUGGGUCGGGCCCCCAGAGGAAGCUGGGCCGCUGCCCUGUAUUCCCUCAAGUCCCAGUCUGAAGCCGAGCUCGGGCCUCACUAACCGCAGUUCGCACUUAACUAGAAAGGUGAAUUGAGUAGGAGGCACAGAGGUUCUCUCCAGGGCAGGAUUUCAAGUCUCUGAGCUGAGGGAAUUAUUGAAAGCCUAGAAAAGACUAUUAUUAGGCUUGGGGUGGGAGUGGGGGUGUUGAAAAACAAGAGCCUAAGAAAGAGAUUUGAAGAAAAACUGCUGGAAAAUGGACAUUUCCCCCAUGGCAUCAUUGGCCUGAGAAAGCCCGUAGAAAGUGUUGAGGGAGGUGAGCUGUGACACAUUACCGCCUGAACUGCAACUCAUUUCCAGUGGACAUCGCAGUUUUCCUCAUUCCUCCGACAGGAUCGUCCGUUAUAAUAGUUAAACGAAAGGCUAUAACUCCACCUUGGGAAUAUUACUCAGCUCUAAGUUUCUAGUGUUUCUAUUUUAAGCACAUACUGAAUUGUUAAAGGAGUUUAUUAAAGAAUGGUAAUUGAAGUAUGUAAUGAAUUGUUUUCAGUAAGUCCCACAGAGGGUUUUUGAAAUGUCUGAAGUCAAAAUUUUGUAUUUCUGAUUUAAGGCAGAGAAGCGUCAUCAGCAUUUAUUGGGGCUCACAUAUAAGUAACAAACACAGAGGGCACGUUACCCUUCACCAUUGGUGGAGGAUGCCACGGAGUCCGUGGUCCCUGUGGAGCUGUACUCCUCCUUCCAGACCAUCCGUGUGGACCCUUGGCUCGCCUCAGUGUACAGAUGGGCCCGGGCAGGGCCAGGAGGGGGUAGAUGGGUGAUGAGAGGGCCUGACUCACCCCACUUGCUCUGUGCCCACACGGCUCCCCUGGCCCCUGGGUGGCAUGACCGAAAUUGCCACAGAAACAACGGGUGGAAAUUAAGAUGGACACACUAGUGUUUCAGCAAGGCUCGACUUUAAACUUUAUUUUAUUUUUUUUUUUUCAACGUUUAUUUAUUUUUGGGACAGAGAGAGACAGAGCAUGAACGGGGGAGGGGCAGAGAGAGAGGGAGACACAGAAUCGGAAACAGGCUCCAGGCUCCGAGCCGUCAGCCCAGAGCCUGACGCGGGGCUCGAACUCCCGGACCGCGAGAUCGUGACCUGGCUGAAGUCGGACGCUUAACCGACUGCGCCACCCAGGCGCCCCUCGACUUUAAACUUUAAACUCCUCCUCUUUCUUGAAACCUCCCCGUCCCCUUCACUUGUUUUUCUGUGGAAUGCUUUGUUCCAGGACCUCAGUAUCGAUGUUGACAUCCCGCUGACCUCAGUAUAUACUUAGGGGACUGGUAGGCCGGUGCCAGCCCCAGUCAUGAGACCAUGGCUGGAAGAACACAUGAUGAACGUGGCUGGCUCCGUGUCCCGGAUUUGUAUCGAAGCCGCCAUAUUCUGUAUUUUCGUAGAAACCCCUCAGCCCUUUACCCCCAGGCGGGCUUGCAGUCUUGGAGGCAUGAGCCUGCAGCAGCUUCCUUCACCUGGCAGAGUAAUAACUAUCUACCUUCUUCACACCCAAACUCUGUCUUCGCCUUACAUAUCUCUGCUCCAGAGCACAGAGGUCGGUUUUCACUAACAUGAGACAUGUUACAUGUACAGCUCCCAGAUGCCCAUACGUGGGUUCCGAACACUUCUCCAGGGUGGGCAGUGCUCCUGGAGGGUGCUCCCCAAGGGACAGGGAGGACGGGCCCUGUGGGGGCAACUAGACAGGACAGAACAGAUGGACACAUGCAUGUCCCUGAUUCCGGGCAGCCGCGGUCCCGCCCAGAGUGGUGCCUGUGACCCAGCAACCCUAACACCCUAAUGCAUCGUGAGGGCCAGGAACCGGAAGGGCAGGGCUCCCUGACCACUGGGUGCGUGUGCCCCUGUGUGAGCGGUUAUGCUGGGUGUCUGGGGGAUGGGGAGGUCUGGACGGCCCACCCUGAGUUCUCUGCUCCCAUCUCCAGGCUGGUCAUGUGAAGCAGUCAUGGCUGGGCUGGAUUCCCAAGUGGUGGGGCACAUAGGCGUCAUUCUGCAGACAUGAUAAAUGGGCCCAGGCUGGUGAGUGGGCAGGAAUGGUCUCCUUUGGGGCCCCCAUCUUUGUGGUUACUGGUUUGUUUUUAUUUGUUUUUUUUUUAACGUUUAUUCAUUUUUGAGAGAGAGAGAGAGAGUGAGAGCAAGCAUGAGAGGGGGAGGGGCAGAGAGAGAGGGAGACACAGAAUCGCAAGUAGGCUCCAGGCUCUGAGCUGUCAGCCGAGCGUCUGACGCAGGGCUCGAAUUCACGAACUGUGAGAUCAUGACCUGAACUGAAGUUGGGUGCUCAACCGACUGAACCACCCAGGCACCCCUGUGUUUAUUUUUAUUUAUUGAUUUUCUAACUGUCUAACCACAUCUUCCAGUACCUGUCUAUAGUCAACUUUGGAGGGACUCAGGGCAGACUUCCGGGAGGAGAAGGCCCUGUGCCAGGGCCUCUGAGUAGUGGGUGCCUUGGCCGUCAUGUUGCAGGAGUGUGGAAUGCUCUAGGGCCGGAGUGGGGCAAGGUAUGGAUGACUAUUCCAGUUGGUGUUCCUGGGUGGCCAGGAGGACAGCCAGAUACCAGCACACCUGCAGCCGUCUGCCUGUAGCCCUUUGUCUCUCUCGGGCCCCAGUAAAUGUCAUCCUCUGAGCAAGGUUAAAUCCGGACUUAACUGAAUGCUUAAUAUGUGACAGCAUGUCAGCAAAAAACCCAAACCAAAACAAAAAAACUCAGUUCUGGGGAGCAAAUAGUACUCCUUGUAAUUAAGGCCAAUUUAGUAUGAUUUUUGUGGUGUUUGGAAAGCGUCGAUGCUUGACUGGCAUGGCAUCUGUAAACUAUGAAGGUAAAUAAGGUAAGAGGCAGUUUAGGACUUGACGUGAUUGGGUGAGAGGUGGACCAGCUGAUGGAGUGGUAGCAGUUUGGCUCAGCCGUGUUGGGAGACAAGGAAAAGGGGGGCGUGAGUGGCAUUGCAUCUUCUCAAGCCCCCCAUUAAUUCAAAGAAGCUCUACUUUGAUCACUUUUAUUAGUUUAUGUUUUUAUGUAGGAUUUAAAAAAGAAUAUAGUCAGGGCUAAAAGAGGUUUGAAAACAUUCGAUCUGGUUUAGCCCUUUAUUUUACUUUUGAGUUUUUAUUUAAAUUCCAGUUAGUUGACAUAUCGUGUAAUAUUAGUUUCAGGUGUCUAAUACAUUGAUUCAGCACUUCAGUACAACACCUGGUGCUCAUCACAACAAGUGCACUCCUUAAUCCCCAUCACCUAUUCCACCCAUCCCCCCACCCCACCCCUCUGAUAACCACCAGUUUGUUCUCUAUAGUUGAGAGUCUGUUUCUUGCUUUGUCUCUCUCUUCCCCCACCCUAUGGUUGUUUCUUAAAUUCCACAUACGAGUGAAAGCAUAUGGUAUUUGUCUUUCUCUGACUUAUUUCACCUAGCAUGAUACUCUCUAGCUCCGUCCAUGUCAUUGCAAGUGGCAAGUUUUCAUUCUUUUUUAUGGCUGAGUAAUAUUCCAUGAUACUAUACACCAACCUCUUCUUUAUCCGUUCAUCAGUCGAUAGACACUUGGGCUCUUUCCGUAAUUUGGCUAUUGUAGAUAAUGCUGCUAUAAACAUCAGGGCGCAUGUAUUCCUUAGAGUUAGUAUUUAAAAUUUUUUCAAGUGUUUAUUUAUUUUUGAGAGGGGGAAAGAGAGAGAGGCUGAAAGAGAGUGAGAGACAGAAUCUGAAGCAGGCUCCGGGCUCUGAGCUGUCAGCACAGAGCCCCACACGGGGUUCGAACUGACAAGCCGUGAGAUCAUAACCUGAGCUGAAGUUGGAUGCUUAACCGACUGAGCCACCCACAAACCCCUAGGAUUAGUAUUUUUGUAUUCUUUGUAGCCUUUCAUUUUAUUUAUUUUUUUUUUUUUUUAAUUUUUUUUUUUCAACGUUUAUUUAUUUUUGGGACAGAGAGAGACAGAGCAUGAACGGGGGAGGGGCAGAGAGAGAGGGAGACACAGAAUCGGAAACAGGCCCCAGGCUCCGAGCCAUCAGCCCAGAGCCCGACGCGGGGCUCGAACUCACGGACCGCGAGAUCGUGACCUGGCUGAAGUCGGACGCUUAACCGACUGCGCCACCCAGGCGCCCCUGUAGCCUUUCAUUUUAAAUGAGAAAAUAAAAGUGACUUGCAUCAGAUGAGACAGUUGGUGGCAAAGCAUGAUUUUCACGUAAUAAGUUUUUGUGAUACUCACAAUUUAAUUUAUGCCACCAGUCAGAUGCAACAAACAGAAGGACUAUGAGAGUUUCACACUUAGUAACGAAAAAAGUGCAUGGGGAUGACAUAAUGGAGGAUAGAUUUCAUGGAGUGCUUGGUUCAUAGUAAGUAUUUUAAUAAGCAUUUAUUAUGCAAAAGUAUGAAUAAAUGUACUCUAUUUUGUAUAUGUUGCAUUUUAAAUGUGUGUAGAGUGGUAGGAUGUGUUGCUCAAUGGUCAGGAGACUAGUUUGGACUUCAGAGUAGGGGGUCAAAACCAUAUGAGUUUUAUUGACCAUAGAGGUGAAUAAAAUAAUGCCAGGAAAGAAUGUAUAUAGAAAGAGAAGUUUCCCAAGUCAGAAUUGUGGGAAUAACAUCAUUUAUAGAAGUGGUCAGGAAGUGGACACGACAAAUAGACCGAGGUGAAGUUUUCUUUAGAUCCAGGAGUGACAUCCAGAGGAUCCAAAUCAAAUUACCGGCGAAAGAAAAGGCUCAUCAGUACUGUCAAACUUCAUCGGUUACUGAUGGGAGAGACUGAAGGACUUGGAAGCACCAGUCCAAGGAUCAUCCCUCAAGAAUAAAUCCUUUGGUUUACAUGAAUUUCUUCCGAUGUUCCCAAUCAAGAUUGUGUAAGUAGCCAUCCUCUCGGCUCUAGAAGUACCCUCUACUCAGUCUGCAAUCAAAAUUACAUUAUUGAAAUAUAGUUACCUGUUUAUAUAUCUGUUAUUCUUCUUUAUUCAUCUUUGUACCUUGACAGUGUUAGUUGGUGAACUAUAUAUAUAUACAUAUAUAUAUUUUUAAAUGAUUUUUAAUGUGUAUCAUUUUUUUGAGAGGGGGGCAGAGAGAGAGGGAGAGAGAGAAUCCCAAGUAGUUUCUGUGCUGUCAGUGCAAAGCCCAAUGUAGGGCUCAAUCCCACAAACCGUGAGAUCAUGAUCUGAGCCAAAAUCAAGAGUCGGAUGCUCAACCGACUAAGCCACCCCAGUGUUCCUGUGAAACUAUAUUUUGUGAAUAGAUGCACACGAGUUUAAAUAUAAGAAGAUAUAAGGCUGAGGACAGCAGUGUUGGAGAAUAACUAUUUUUUUUAAGGUGGGAUGAAAUAGCAUGUUAAAAUAUUUGUACCUAUGGGAGAGUGUUUAUACCUAUAGGUAUAGUUUAUGCCUACAGAGCAGAUGAAGUUAAGAAUGCAGAAUAAAAUGGUAAACAAUGAUGAAGCAAGGUCCAGGGAAAGGUGGCAAAAGAUUCACACAACCCAAUACACACACACACACACACACACACACACACACACCCAUUGCAGGUAUAGAAGGUGUCCUUCUAGACUAUUUCACUGGCACUGAAAGAAAGAGUUAAAGUCAUGUGCAGAUAUAGGUAGAAUUUUGAGUAUGGAAGAAAUGAUUAAGUGAUUCUCUGUCAAGUGUAAAGGAAGGUCAUCUACUACAAUUUUCUUGUUAUAUUUAAGGAGGAAGGAAACUAUUCAUUCUGAAGGUCAAACUAUGUUUGAAGCAUAAGCAGAAUUCCAUGGAGGUUAAUGUCCUGGAUACAGAAAUGGAGAAAGUAGUGGGCCUGUAGAUGCAAUGAAAGAACAAGCUGGCAAGACAUUGAAGGCACAGACACAAGAGCUGCUAAAUCGAUGUACGGAAAUAACUAAAAUGAAGCUUUUGUGGGGUGAUCGUCAUGGACAGAAAGAAGGGAUGGACUGAAGAACUUGAGUGUUUGGAAAGCGGUGCUGCAGGUGAAAAAGUGAGGGAGCUGUGAGGACAGAAGAUUUCCAUCAGAGGUUAGAGACAACAGUGGUGGAACCAUUCAGAUAAGAUGAAUGGUCGGAUCUUGAGGGUCACUUUAUUUGUACAAGUUGAGCAAUGGUGACUUAGGGUAGACAUUAUAAGGAAUUUGAGAUCAGGUUACCAACAUUAAUGCUGAAGUUGGCUAUUAUGACAUUGGGAGUGAACGGGCACCUAACACUAGAGGGCAGUACCAACGGGAGGAGGAAAAGGACAGUGGGUAGAUCAAAACGGUGGAGGCAAAAAAAAGUGUGUGUUUUAGGGAUGACCUCCCAACCUGUGGACUUCAGUGCACCUGAAGUGUAGUAGCCCAAUCUCUGUUCUCUGAUAGGCCCAUUACCCGGGUGUAGACUGUCUUAAUGCACAAGUCCCUUGGUCCUAGUGAUUAGUGUAGGAAGGGGGAUUGGACUUAAGUGGCCUAAGAUAAAGUUUUUUCUAUUCGAACCUCCCAUAUCUCUAUAUUCAAUUUAUUUCUCCAUUUUUUUCUCUCACUACCUGUAAGUGCAGCCACGUCUUUUUCUCAUUGUUAAAAAUGUCUUCAACCUCGACACACCUUCUUGUUAUUUUCCUCUUUCAUUCUCUAAAACACCUUGAGAAUGUGGUGUGAACUUAUUACUUUUUUAAAUGUGUUCUAUUUAUUCAACACACUGAAGUCUGGCUUCUACCCACCACCACAGCCACUGAUACUGAUUUUACACAUUUAUGGAAGAGAAUAUUUCAGAGCAUGAGGAACCAGUCAGUAUGUGUAGACUGCCCAGGUUUACAUUGGUCCAAACCAGUUCUCCUUAAGACUAAUCGCUGAAAAGCCCAUUUAUAUAAAUGUGCAUUUGCCUAAAAUCUCUACUAGCAAAUUAAAUUUCACAUGUGAGGGAUAGCUCAGUUGCUCUGGGGACUUGACCAAUUCUUAUUGCUGUUUUUCUAUUUUCUUUUUCCUUGUAGUGUAUUCAGGAUUGUAAAAUCCAACACCUCUUAAUGCAAUAGACAAGCAAAUACUGUAGACACUUGUAAGCAGCAAGGUGGUACAAAGAGACAAUUGUCAUGCAAACAGGCUCCCCAAGGUCAUGCAAAUAGAUAAUUGUAAGUAGCAAAGCUGAAGGUGACGUCAUCUAGAGAACAUUCCUUUGUAAAUUGAGAGACAAAAAUUAUAGCACUUCUUGUUCUUUUGCCUGAUAUGGAAAGCAAAACAGCAGUGCAAGGAGAUUGAAGCUAACCACCUCCUCAUCAGGAUGGAAGACCAAGUAUUUUAAAUUUUCAGCAUUUAGAAUGGUUUCAUUUAUGUAAAGUUCAAGGACGGACUAAAGUAAUAGUUUUCCUUCUUUUAGCUUUGGUCUGUGUUUUAUAAGACCAUGAUGUCUAGAACUGAAGCUGCCUGGGCAAGUGUUUAGGGCCAGCCUCAGCCUAUGGAUAGUUAAACUGUCAGCUAAAAAUGCCUGGGUCUGGGUGAGCUUCCCACAAUUUCCCUUUUCCAAAUGAAUUUUAUGACUGGGCAGCCCUUGUGGUUCUUGUUAUGAUUGCAAGAUGCCCUUCAGAGACAACCAUCAGGAAACUUUGAAAAAAUAAGGAUUUAUUAAGAAGGAAAAAACAAAAACAAAAACAAGAGGCUCAAAUGGUCAGUUAUGGGCAUGAACCAAGAUCUCUCUAUCUAAUCGUGUUUAUUCAAGUUGCCUGGGCAACCAAAGCCUAAGUCAGACCCUUGCAUUCCAAAAGAGAAAAAAUAACAGCUCUCAAGGCUUACCCUAUAACAAGACUGAGGAUGAAAUCCAAAGCAUGAAGGUGGAACAGUGGAUGGAUGGAAAGAACCCAAGUCAUUGAUGAUUAUUGAGCAUCUCAACUAACUCUGGAACCAUCCAUCUCCAGACCUAUUGCUAAUUCAGUGAUAAAUCUUUUUACAGUUUAUGUUAUUGUUAAUCACAUUUUGGUUACUUGAAGAUGAAAGCAUGCCUAAUGAAUACUUUCUCCGCUGAUUUAAGCACCUCUUAUGACAUUUAGUUCAGUUUUGUUGCUUCGUUCGUAUGGGUUCUGAAUGCUUAUUGAGUUUAAUCCUGAAGUUUUUAUAUUUCUCUCGCCAUAGUGAAUGGAUAUUUUUCUGGAAGAUACAUUUUUUUUGUUUAACUAAUGUUGUGGAUGUAUAGAAAAACUACUGAUUGCAUGAAUAUUCCAAAGUUGUUUGCCUUUCUGAACUCUCUUAGAAUAUUAAUAAUUUCUCAUUUCUUUUGUUUUUAGAGAGAGAGUGUGAGGCAGGGAGAGGGGCAGAGGGAGACAGAAUUGUAAGGAGGUUCCAUGCUCAGCGAGGAAAAGGACUCAGGGCUUGAUCCCAUGACUCUGGAUCAUGACCUGAGCCAAAAUCAAGAGUCAGAAGCUCAACAAACUGAGCCACCCAAGAGCCCCAGUAAUUUCUCAUUUCUAAUGAGAUUUCUUAGAUUUCUAGGUAGAUAAUCAUUAGCGACUCUGAAUAUUUGUGGAUCCCUCCCAUCCCAAUUUGAAUGUCAUAUUCUAAUCUCGUUUCACUGUAUUGGAGGGAAACUGCAUAAUCUUCUUAAGUAAUAUGAGUGGUGUUUCUUCUUCUUCUUAUUUUUUAAAUGUUUAUUUAUUUUGAAAGAGGGAGAGAGAAUCCCAAGCAAGCUCUGUGUUGUCAGCACAGAGCCCGACAUGAGGCUCAAACUCAUGAACUGUGAGAUCAUGACCUGAGCUGAAAUCAAGAGUCAGGUAUUUAAUCGACUUAGCCAGCAGGCUCCCUGGUAGUAUUGUUUCUUUUCUUCUCUUUGUAUUUAUUUAUUUUUGAAAUGUUUAUUUAUUUUUGAGAGAGAGAGAGAGAGAGAAUGGGGGAGGGGCAGAGAGAGAGGGGGACAGAGGAUCUGAAGCGGGUUCUGCAGUGACAGCAGAGAGCCUGAUGCGGGGCUCAAACUCAUGCACUAGGAGAUCAUGACCUGAGCCAAAGUCCAAUGCUUCACCGACUGAGUCUCUCAGGUGCCCCAUGUUGUUUCUUUUAUUAAACUGUAAUUUCGGAGCGCCUGGGUGGCGCAGUCGGUUAAGCGUCCGACUUCAGCCAGGUCACGAUCUCGCGGUCCGUGAGUUCGAGCCCCGCGUCAGGCUCUGGGCUGAUGGCUCGGAGCCUGGAGCCUGUUUCUGAUUCUGUGUCUCCGUCUCUCUCUGCCCCUCCCCCGUUCAUGCUCUGUCUCUCUCUGUCCCAAAAAUAAAUAAACGUUGAAAAAAAAAUUAAAAAAAAAAAUAAACUGUAAUUUCUUCAAUCUGAUAUUAUCUGUUAUUAUUUUAAAACCUGUGGUUCAAUAUUGAUUAAUUUUAAAUAUGUUUUAUUGAAAGAGAGAAUCAUUAGAGUUUUUAUUAUUAAAUAUUUGGGGUCACAAUGAUUGUAGAAUUUUAUUUUUAUACCUGUUAAGAAGCUAUGCAGGUGGAAUAUGAUUAUUCUCAUUCUAACCUAUUGAUUUGAGAAGUCAAACCAAUAGCAAAAUUUAUUUGGUCAUGAUUAUUAUUUAGAUUGCCAUUCUUUUUUUUUUUUUAAAUUUUUUUUCAACGUUUUUUAUUUAUUUUUGGGACAGAGAGAGACAGAGCAUGAAUGGGGGAGGGGCAGAGAGAGAGGGAGACACAGAAUCGGAAACUGGCUCCAGGCUCCGAGCCAUCAGCCCAGAGCCUGACGCGGGGCUCGAACUCACGGACUGCGAGAUCAUGACCUGGCUGAAGUCGGACGCUUAACCGACUGCGCCACCCAGGCGCCCCUAGAUUGCCAUUCUUUCAGUAUACUUUUGGAUUCAAUGGAUUAAUAUUUCAUUCAGAAUUUUUGUCUGUGUAUUCAUUAGGGGAUGAUAAUUAAAAAUUUUUUAAGGUUUUUUAUUUAUUUUGAGAUAGCGAGAGAGAGAGAGAGAGAGAGAGAGAGAGAGGGAGAGGGAGAAUCCCAAGCAGAUGCCAUGCUGUUCGAGAAGAGCCAGAUGCAGUCUUGAUCUCACAAAGCAUGAGAUCAUGACCUGAGCUAGAAUCAAGAGUUGAGUGUUUAACUGACUGAGCCAGCCAGGCGCCCCAGAGGAUGAUGAUUUUUUUAGGUUUUGAAUCAGAGUUGCUUUAGCUCUGAAAAUGCAUUAACAAUUUUCCAUAUUAUUCUGUACUCUAAAAAAUGCAUAUAACAUUGAAGUUUGGACUCACCUGAAAAACUAACCCUGCUUGUUGCCCAUGCGAGCUAAUCCUUUGACUUUUUUUGUUUUUAUACAUCUAAUGGCUCAAUUUUCUUUUUCUUGAGUUACAUAUUCCUUAAAAUUAGACAAAAGCCUGCUUUUCAGAUUUAUUGGGAUGAAUCUUAGUAUUUCAUUAAAAUUUUUAUUCUUUAUGUCAAUGUAUUAUUGAUUUCUUUUUCUUUUUUCUUGAAUAUAUUCUACAGAGUUAUGUCAAAUUUUAUAGAUUUAAAAAUUUUUUUUAGUUUAAUUUUUGAGAGAGAGAGAGAGAGGGAGAGAGAGAACAAGGGAGGGGCAGAGAGAGAAAGAGAGAGAAUCACAAGCAGGCUCUGUCCUGCUAGUGCAGAGCCUGAUGUGGGGCUCGAACUCACCAACUGUGAGUUUAUGACCUGGGCCGAAAUCAAGAGUUGGACACUUAACCGACUGAACCACCCAGGUGCUCUGAAUUUUAUGGAUCUUUUUUGAAUGACUAGAGCCUGGAUUUAUUUCUCAAUUCUGUUUUUCUGUUUUUUGACUUAUUAAUUUGUGUUUUCAGUUCUUUUAUCCUCCUUUACUUAUGUUAGGUUUUGUUAUUUUCUAAUACUUGGAUAUGAGCUUUCAGAAACUUAAUUUUUUUUCUUGUUUAUUCACGAAUCAAUAUAAGGAUAAAGAUAAUGGUUGCACUGGCAUUAUUUUGUAACUUUAGUAUAUAAUGUUCUCAUGUUCAUAAUAUUCUACAAAGAGUUUUGAUUGCAGUGUUAACAUAGGAGUUUUUUUCUUUUUACCCAAGUUUUGUUUAAAAAAACUUAAAAGUAGUUGGUAUUUGUAAAAGUUAUCUUCUGUGUAAUAACCCCCCCCCCUUUUUUUUUUUAGAGAGAGAGAAUGAGCGUGAAUGGGGGAGGAGCAGAGAGAGAGAUGGAGAGAGAGAGUCCUGAGCAGGCUCUGUACUGUCAGUGUAGAGGCCGACGCAGGGCUCAAAUUCACGAACUCCUGAGAUCAUGACAUGAGCCUAAAUCAAGAGUCGGAUGCUUAUUUGAUUGAGCCACCCAGGUGCCCCAUUCCUCCCUUGUUUUCAAUUCUUUCUGCGACUCCUCAGUCAGAUGCCGAAUCUCCUGAAAUGAUCAUCGUAUCUUUUCAACCUAAUUAUUUUGUCUUAUUGAUCUGUUUUGUGGAAAAUCGUCUUCGCGUUCUCUUCCAACCAACAGAGCAGCCUUUCCAAAAGAGGAGGCCAAAUCAAGAACUACUGCCUUUGAAGAACAGGCAAGCUCUGUUCAGACAAGCUCUAGAGUCAUUCUUCCAAAUUAUCUGACACCGUGUGGGAAGAGGUGGGAACAAAAGGAGAAUGCAACGGAACAUAGUCUUUGUGAUUUUUGCUUAGUAAGUGUGUCUUUGUUCACUACAUUAGAGAUAUUUCCCCAGUGUCCUUCUCACAGCCGCCUUCACCUCUACGUUCUUUAGGCUGUAGAUGAGGGGAUUCACCAAGGGCGUGACUGCACUGUACUGCAAGGAGGAGAGCAAAUCCAAAGAGGAACCCGAGGGAGGCAUGAGAUAACAAAGAAAACCUGAGCCAAAGAACAGGAUCACUGCGAUGAGGUGGGAGGAGCAGGUGGAGAAGGCCUUGCUUCUGCCUGAGGUGGAGCUGAUGUGCAGGAUGGUGGAGACAAUACGGGUGUAGGAAAAGAAGAUUGGGAGGAAGGUUCCCAGCCCAUGCAGUAAGGUGGAGCAGAUCAAGAUGUCAAUAUUGAUGGAAAUAUCAGAGCAAGACAGAGGGAAGAGGGAGGGC
rnacentral:lncRNA from 1 species